GUGGGGAAUUUUGGACAAUGGGCGAAAGCCUGAUCCAGCCAUGCCGCGUGCAGGAUGAAGGCCUUCGGGUUGUAAACUGCUUUUGUACGGAACGAAAAGACUCCUUCUAAUAAAGGGGGUCCAUGACGGUACCGUAAGAAUAAGCACCGGCUAACUACGUGCCAGCAGCCGCGGUAAUACGUAGGGUGCAAGCGUUAAUCGGAAUUACUGGGCGUAAAGCGUGCGCAGGCGGUUAUAUAAGACAGAUGUGAAAUCCCCGGGCUCAACCUGGGAACUGCAUUUGUGACUGUAUAGCUAGAGUACGGUAGAGGGGGAUGGAAUUCCGCGUGUAGCAGUGAAAUGCGUAGAUAUGCGGAGGAACACCGAUGGCGAAGGCAGCCUCCUGGGAUAACACUGACGCUCAGGCACGAAAGCGUGGGGAGCAAACAGGAUUAGAAACCCCUGUAGUCC
rnacentral:rRNA from 1 species